rnacentral:lncRNA from 1 species
AUCUCGUAUCCUAACCAAUCAUCGCAGACGAGAUGCACCGAGCUGCACCGUCUAUGAUGCACAAAGAAUUUCUCUCUGAGAAAUUCAGACAAAAAGAUGGGUAGAAAAUGUCUUUUCAUUUUCCUGCAUCAAGAGUCAUGAUAUCAACAAAUGUUGACGAGGUUCUAAAAUUUUAAGUGGAAGAUGGGUGGAAAAAUGGAAAGCUUGAGAAAAGAUCCUACUUUAUUGGACUCGGUCAUGGUCAAACAACAACCACAGAAAUAAAUAGGACAAUCGACUUUGCCUUGAUUAAACAGUACUUGUUGUUUGUAUGCAUGUGGAA